rnacentral:tRNA from 6 species
GGGCCGUUAGCUCAGUUGGUAGAGCAGUUGGCUUUUAACCAAUUGGUCGAUGGUUCGAGCCCAUCACGGCCCACCA